UACGAACCUUGCUAACGUUAUUCGGAAUUACUGGGCUUAAAGGGUGCGUAGGCGGUGCGGAAAGUUGGGUGUGAAAGCCCUCGGCUCAACCGAGGAAUUGCGCCCAAAACUACUACACUAGAGGAAGACAGAGGUACGCGGAACUUAGGGUGGAGCGGUGAAAUGCGUUGAUAUCCUAAGGAACACCGGUGGCGAAAGCGGCGUACUGGGUCUUAUCUGACGCUGAGGCACGAAAGCUAGGGGAGCGAACGGG
rnacentral:rRNA from 1 species